rnacentral:lncRNA from 1 species
GGUUUUUCAAAGAUGAUGUAUUUGUUAUUUUACAACAACUUGAUUUCAUUAAGUAGAGCAGCAGGAAUUCAGUUCAAAGUGUACACACAUUCAUUAUAACUUACAGCAAUAAAGGCCAGAUUCAACAUGGAUGUUCUACAAGAUAGAUAUAUCUAAUUUGCGUAGACAUUGAGGUCUCUUUGACACUGACUAAAAAGAAAACCAGAGCCUCUAUUUAGAACUGGAAGUUGAAUUUGGCAUAAGUCCAGGGACAUUUGCAAGAAACAAAGGCCCACUGAAAAGUACUAAAUUUAGAAGGGUCAUCUUGGACUUUUAGCUCCAGCUGUGUAUUCUGUUUACAUGUAAAUUAUUCAUUUAAUAGUGCUUUUUUUGUUUCAUUCUAGAAAAGAGAAAACAUGAAAUCAAUCUUACUUUAACUAUUUC